AGUUCGGAUUGUAGGCUGCAACUCGCCUACAUGAAGUCGGAGUUGCUAGUAAUCGCGGAUCAGAAUGCCGCGGUGAAUGCGUUCCCCGGGUCUUGUACACACCGCCCGUCACACCAUGGAAGUUGGGGGGCGCCCGAAGUUGCCUAAGAAAUAAGGUACCUAAGGCGAAACCAAUGACUGGGGUGAAGUCGUAACAAGGUAGC
rnacentral:rRNA from 1 species